ensembl:lincRNA
GAAAAAAGUAGUAUCCCAGUAUAAUUGGCAAACGCAUAAAUACAAUUUCAUCAAAGAAUAAAAAAUAGAACUAUUAAGGAAACAGUAAAAAUGUUUGUGGUUGCUAGUAAUCAUAGAAUGUAAAUUAAGACAAAAUAACUUAUUUUUACAUUCAAAUUAAUUAAAGGAUAUGAUCUCGAAAAUGUCAUGAAAAUGGUGCUUUUAUAUCUUGCAGGUGGGAAGACAAAUUGAUGCAACCCUCUUGAAAAGCAAUCUGGCAAUAUGAACCAAGAGCCAUGAAAAGGCUUAUGCUAUUAUAAUUAGUAAGUCAAUUUAUAGAAAUUUGUUUUUUAAAAGUAAAGUAAAAUAAGAGAAAACCCUUGUUGGGAAAGAUGUUCAUUGCAAUAUUGCCUACAACAGGAAAAAUAUUGGAAGAAAAAAAUCUAACAAAUUGAUAAAAUCAUAUUAGGUAAAUUAGGGUGGACCUCUGUGGUAGAAAAUUAUGCAACUGAUAGAAAUGAUAAUAAUAAAAAUCACAUAGCAACAUAGAAAUGCCUUAAUUAGAAUCUUAAGUGGAAAAUGAGCAUAUGAAAUAGAAUGCAGGCUAUUGUCAUUACAUACAAUUAUGUAGAGAAGACUGAAAGGAAACAUUUCAAAGGUUUGUAAGUUAUUUAAAGAUAGUGGGAUUACAGUAUUUUUUUUUUUUACUUUCCAUAUAUAUUCUUCAAUGUUGUUAUAAUGAUUUAACAAUGAAAAUGUAAUUGAUAGUGUAUUAUUGCUAUUUCCUUAAUUCCAGAAUGGCUGUAAUGUUGGCUGUAAAUAUGAAAUUUUCUUUCACACACCAGUAUUUUCAAGAAUGGCAUAUUCACAUGCAGUAUGUGAUGAAAGAAGCAGUAGAGGAUGUUAACAAAGCUAUUUCUUUGGACAAUCUGAACCUGAACUCCUGAGUGUGCUCAAGAGUGAAUUGCUUUGGAAUGGGAGGAAUUCAAGCCCAGCUUCCCUGAAGACUGCCACUGGGGAGCAGCAGAUUUCACACAGCGGAAAGCCUUUGAACUUCUUGCAGGAAAGAUAGUAUAUCUCAGUUAAGAGAUAUAUGUUUGGAGAAAAUCAUAGUCCUUGCUUUUUCCCAUGCAGAUGGAUUUUUAUCUGAAUACUGAUGUGUUUGUCACCAAACAGAAAAUAAACCAUGAGACACUUAACUAAAAGACAAAAGUUUGAAAGGAAAUAAGCUUCACAAUUACUCAAGAUGGAAUCCAUUCUACAAUUUUUUUUCCUACAACAUCUGUUUUACAUUUCCCGAUUAGCAAUACUUUCAUGAGAAUUUAGCAGAUGAAAUGAAAGUAUAUAGAAUUAGUCCAUUUUCACACUGCUGAUAGAGACAUACCUGAAACUGGACAAUUUACAAAAGAAAGAGAUUUAAUUGGACUCAUAGUUCCACAUGGCUGGGGAGGCCUCAAUCAUGGUGGAAGGUAAGGAGGAACAAGUCACAUCUUACGUGGAUGGCAGCAGGCAAAAAGGGCUUGUGCAGGGAAAUUCCCAUUUUUAAAACCAUCAGAUCUUGUGAGACUCCUUCACUAUCAUGAGAACAGCACAGGAAAGACCCACUCCUAUGAUUCAGUCAUCUCCCACUGGGUCCCUCCACAACACGUGGGAAUUAUGGGAGCUACAAGAUGAGAUUUGGGUGGGGACCCAGAGCCAAACCAUAUCAUAUAUGUAGAUAUGAAGAUAAAUAUUCUGG